UACGGAGGGAGCUAGCGUUGUUCGGAAUUACUGGGCGUAAAGCGUGCGCAGGCGGUGAUGUAAGACAGGUGUGAAAUCCCCGGGCUUAACCUGGGAACUGCAUUUGUGACUGCAUUGCUGGAGUGCGGCAGAGGGGGAUGGAAUUCCGCGUGUAGCAGUGAAAUGCGUAGAUAUGCGGAGGAACACCGAUGGCGAAGGCAAUCCCCUGGGCCUGCACUGACGCUCAUGCACGAAAGCGUGGGGAGCAAACAGG
rnacentral:rRNA from 1 species